GUUACAUGAGCUUGCAAGAUGAAGGCGAGAUGGGGAGUCCCAACAGAUUCCUGUUAAAAUGUGCAUGCCAAAAUUUCAUUUUUAACAACUGCUACCCCAGGUAUUCAUUAGUGUCUUUUCCACUGCCUCCAAAAUCACGUACAGUGAUCUGAGUCGCUGGGGAAUGGCAGGAGGCCAAAGACUUUGGAAGAACUCGUCUCUGUGGCGAUGUGCGGGGAGGGUCCCAGAGGACAGCACCUGGCAUCAGCCCAUCCGUAGAGAGGGCAGAACAAAGGUGGCUCACGGCACCAUCAGCACACUGGCUUGGGAUAGCAGUCGCUGGCAAAGCUGAGCGAGAGCCGCCCGCGUUGGAAGCCGCCCCAGAAUACGAGCGUUCCUCCACUCCCGCUCCAGCACUGCCCCUUGAGGAACCUGCUGCCUUGGGACUCUCCGUGUGACCCGUUUUUCUCCCUAGAACU